UUUCCGUAGGUGAACCUGCGGAAGGAUCAUUAUUGAAUGAAACACUUCUGGCUUUAUGCUGUUGUGCUGGCCCUUUGGGCAAUGUGCACACGGCUCUGGUCACUUGUUUCUUCUGUUCCACCUGUGCACUGCCUGUAGACACGCUGUGUCUAUGAUAUUUGUUAACACACAACAAUGUUAGUUGGCAUGUUAUAUAUAAUAAUAAAAUAUACAACUUUCAACAACGGAUCUCUUGGCUCUCGCAUCGAUGAAGAACGCGGC
rnacentral:misc_RNA from 1 species